CAUUGCAGACGGCCAAUGUGAUCUCCUGCCUGAAAGCGAUGCGCCCAAUUCUCACGCAAUGGCCUUUGGAGACAGGGACUGGACCCGGGGUUACCUGGAUGGACACUAGACAGCUUUGGCAUAAUGGGUAGACAGUAUCUGAAAAAUGCUGGCAGGGUGGCCCCGACUCCAAGUGUCAUGUGGGCUCCUACGUCCUGGGUGCUUCACCAUUGGCACUGUCUGGUAGUCACGUGUCCUUAUGGGCCCCAGGGGUUGUCCUGCAGCUGUAUGGGGCCUUGUCUGACAAUGGCCCUUUGAACGGUGCCACAAGCCAGGGCACACUGGGGUUUUUGACUUGUGACACCAGGACGCAGUGAGUUUGAAGGCCCUGGGGAACCAUGCUUGCCCCUCACCAUUCCCUCACCAUAAUCUCAAAGACGGGAAGGGAUGAGGUGUCCCCACUGGAACCAUGGUGCAUUGGUGAUGGAGACAGUGUUCGAUGCUGGUGGGAUGCCCGUCAGGGCCCUGUUCCCCCAAGGGAUCUUGCCAUUGCGUCUGCGUGGUAGCAUUCGUGGGCCCUUCUGGGGCCCCAUGCACGCCCAUUCCUGGCAAAACUCAGGGCUGGUCCCUGCCACCCAAGGCCCAGGAUUCUGCCUGCCACCAACCUGCCAAGGUCUGUCCCGAUCACGCUGCAGGAAGACAUGUGCAUGUGGCCUGGUGCCUGCUGUGGCAGCCUCCAUGCUCAGAUGCCUGUGGUGCUUGAAUUCCCUUGUUUCCAGUGGAGCCACAGAGGCUAAGGGCCUUGUGGACAUGCUGCUGCCUUCCUUCCCGCCAGGCCAGGAAUGCAGGAUUGCGUAAUGAAAGCAGUCCCAGCCCCGUGCAUUCUGAGAUCCCUCCCAUUGCCACAAGGUGAGGUCGGAAGGGGAAGGAGUUUUGUCAUUGCUGAGCUGCCUCUCUCCACGCAGAUCCCGUGCCCCCACCAAAAUCCCACCUGGCACACAGAAGGACGUUUGGCCCAUUGUCGGGGAAAAAGCCUCAAGCCAGGGGCCCCCAUGGCCAUGCCGCACAUCAAAAAACUUCUCUGAUCCUGCGCCCCGACUGAGAUCCCACCUGGCUCACGGAGGGGAGUUUGGCCCAUAAUUUGGAACAAGCCUCAAGCCAGGGGCCCCCAUGUCCACCCUGCACAUCACAAAACCUCUCUGGUCCCACCCCACGACCGAGAUCUCACCUGGCGCAUGGAGGGGAGUGUGGCCAAUCUUCGGAAACAGGCCCCGAGCCAAGGGCCCCUAUGGCCACCCUGCAUAUCACAAACCUUCUCUGUGGGACGUCGCCUUGGUGACCAGGGUCUCACCAUUGAGCUCACAAUGGGAAGAGAGUGGAUGUCUGUAUCCUGCACCCUGACCGAGCUCUCACCUGGCACACGAGGGGAGUUUGGCCCAUCUUUGGGAACAGGCCUCGAGCCAGGGGCCCUCAUGUCCACCCAGUGCAUCACAAACCCUCUCUGAUCCCCUGCCCAAAUGAAGAUCCCACCUGGCCCACAUAAUCAAUUGGCCCAGCUUCUGGAAUAUGCCCACACUAAGGUGCCACCCCAGCCAUCUCACAUUCAAGACACCCUCUUUGUGGGACGUCAUCUUGGCCAUGGUUUCACCAUUUCCCCCACCAUGCCAGGUGAAAGAUGCCACUGCUUGUAGUGGAGGCCCUAGAGGACAUGGUGUGGAUUGUGAGGCCUGUAUGAUGGCAAUGCUGGCCUGUGUGUUGAACUGGGGCCUGUUAUGGCCACAGAGGUCCGUCCUUUCUGUGAACAUCAGCCCUGUGCAAUUGGCUGUCAGUAAAGCAACAGAUCAUCUUGGCAUCUGGAAAGUAUGUAAAUGACAAUGGAUGGCCCUCUUCCUCGCUGGUCCAUGAAACAGUUUUACUGGUGUGAGAGAAUGCCCAACUGGAGGCUCAAACCACUGCAGUAUUUGGAGGUCAAAAGCUAGAACAGGUUACUAUUUUUUUUUCAAGUGAACAAGUUACUUUCAAGAAAGAAAGUUUUGCUGAGAUAGGAUUGGAAUCAGGUUUUCCACUUCAAGGAAUAGAGAGAGAAAGAGAGAACAUGUGAGCAGGGGAGAGGGGCACAUGGAGGGAAAGAGAAUUUUAAGAAGGUUCCACACUCAGUGCAGAGCCCAACACGGGGCUCGAUCCCACAACCCUGGGAACAUGACCUGAGCUGAAAUCAAGAGUCAGAUGCUCAACCAACUGAGCCACCUAGGAGCCCCUAACUUCAUUCUUAUAAAAUACUAAACGUCUGUCUGUCUCCAUCAAUCUCCACAGCGCUCUCCACCCUGAGUGCCAAAAUAAUUCAAUAUAAUAUUUUAUAAUUAUAAUUGUAAACAUAUAGCUUUAUCUUUCUUUGCUUUAGUUUCAUCUAUAAAAUGAAAAUGAUAUAAUAAAAAAUUAAUAUAUGUGAAGCACUA